rnacentral:rRNA from 1 species
GCCUAAAGCGUCCGUAGCCUGCUCUGUAAGUUUUCGGUUAAAUCUGUACGCUUAACGUACAGGCCGCCGGAAAUACUGCAGAGCUAGGGAGUGGGAGAGGUAGACGGUACUCGGGAGGAAGUGGUAAAAUGCUUUGAUCUCUCGAUGACCACCUGUGGCGAAGGCGGUCUACCAGAACACGUCCGACGGUGAGGGAUGAAAGCUGGGGGAGCAAACCGGAUUAGAUACCCGGGUAGUCCCAGCCGUAAACUAUGCAAACUCAGUGAUGCAUUGGCUUGUGGCCAAUGCAGUGUUGCAGGGAAGCCGUUAAGUUUGCCGCCUGGGAAGUACGUACGCAAGUAUGAAACUUAAAGGAAUUGGCGGGGGAGCACCACAAGGGGUGAAGCCUGCGGUUCAAUUGGAGUCAACGCCAGAAAUCUUACCCGGAGAGACAGCAGAAUGAAGGUCAAGCUGAAGACUUUACCAGACAAGCUGAGAGGUGGUGCAUGGCCGUCGCCAGCUCGUGCCGUGAGAUGUCCUGUUAAGUCAGGUAACGAGCGAGAUCCCUGCCUCUAGUUGCCACCAUUACUCUCAGGAGUAGUGGGGCGAAUUAGCGGGACCGCCGCAGUUAAUGCGGAGGAAGGAAGGGGCCACGGCAGGUCAGUAUGCCCCGAA